AACGGAUAAAGAGACACACUGGAAGGAGUAGCUUCUUUUCGGUUUGGGUCGAGUGAAGAAAUGCAUCUCUUACUGGGUCUCCAGACAAAAAGCAAGAGCCCACAAAAAUGCAGGGACCAAGAGAGAAGGAAGGGGAAGGAGAGAAUGGCAAAGAAUAGGAGAUGCUGGUUCAGUUUCCAGCACCCACAUGGCAGCUCACAACCUCUAACUCCAGUGCCAGGGGAUCUGAUGCCCUCUUCUAACCUCUGCGGGCGCUGCACGUCAGUGGUGCACAGUCACUCUUACAGGUAAAAUACCCAAAUACAUAAGCACAAAGGUUUGAAAAA